rnacentral:rRNA from 1 species
AUGCAGGGUGGUAUCUGGCCAUUCAGGCCUAGCGAUUCAAGGUCAAGUGCUGUGACGCGAGAUGCGUGCUUCUUGCCACAGGUGACACCGGGCCAGCUGCAAUACUGGAGGGUAUUGUUCCAUGAGGCGAGGGCUUUGGUAUUGUUAGAAAGGUGGUUCUUGAGACAAAGGAGUGCCUGGAAGUCCCUACUGGAUUCGUCACCCAGCAUGGUGCCAUCUAAUGAAGAAGCAGGGGCAAAAGAGGUCAAGAAAGUGAGGAGGGCGGUGACUGUGAAGAGUGAUGAACUGAGAGUCCCUACAGCUACAGGAUAUUUGUGCUACCACGGUUGUGUAUGUUGCUACCGAGUUGUGCAGUAG